GAGGGUAUAGCUCAAGUGGUAGAGCGCAUGCUUAGCAUGCACGAGGUCCUGGGUUCAAUUCCCAGUACUUCCU
rnacentral:tRNA from 1 species